GGACAGCCCCUCAUUAUGCUUAUCAGGCAUCUGCCACUUCCCAGUCACUGCUUUUGAGGCUGAGGGUACCUCGGUAAAGAAGGCUGAGUCCCUACCUGAGCAGAAACAGUAGCAUUGCAGUUAGGGAAACUCAGGGGUCCUGUCGGUAUUUUCCACCCUUGUGUGCACGUCUGUCAUUGCUCUUGCCACAGUAGACUGCCAUCGUGUCUCCUAUCCGGGUGCAAGAUGUACCCGUGAUGAACCCUCAACGGUGACAAGACCCCCCUCCCCUGAGCUGAUCCCCUUUCUACAGCCAGGAGCCAAUGGCCGGGGACAGAGCCAAACCCUGUGAGCUGGACCAAGAGAAAUACGAUGCCGAUGACAAUGUGAAAAUCAUCUGCCUGGGGGACAGCGCUGUGGACUUAUGGAGAGAUUUCUCAUGGAUGGAUUGUAUCCUUCAAGUUUUGAAAUGCUCCUUGUUCCUGUGGCCCUUUCCACCCUCAGGCCAGCUCAGCCCCACUGCCCACCCCUUUGCUCCAGCGGUCCAGGGAGGAGGGAUAAGCAGUCAGAGCUGUGUUCACAUUGCAGACUUUUGGGACACAGCAGGCCAAGAGCGGUUCCAGAGCAUGCACGCCUCCUACUACCACAAGGCCCACGCCUGCAUCAUGGUAUUUGAUGUGCAGAGGAAAAUCACCUACAAGAACCUGAGCACCUGGUAUGCAGAGCUUCGGGAGUUCAGGCCAGAGAUUCCAUGCAUUGUGGUGGCCAAUAAAAUCGAUGCAGACAUAAAGAUGACCCAAAAAAGCUUCAGUUUUGCCAGGAAGUUCUCCCUGCCCCUGUACUUUGUCUCAGCUGCUGAUGGUACCAACGUUGUGAAGCUCUUCAGCGAUGCAAUUCGAUUAGCUGUGUCUUACAAACAGAACUCCCGGGACUUCAUGGAUGAGGUUUUGCAGGAGCUUGAGAGCAUCAGCUUGGAGCAGAAGGAGGAGGAUAUGCUGGGCAAAGAGCCGCGUGGCCACGUCGAGAGCCCAUCUCCCUCCUGAGCCACAGAAGGAGGCCUCUCUCCACGGCCGACUUGGGGAGGGGGGGAGUUCAGAAUACCCCUCCCUUCUGCAGUCCUUCAGCUCUCACUCUCCCAACGAAACCAACCAUUUUAAGAAAAUGGUUUUGAACAGAGAGCUGUUCAUUCCAUGUGCAUGCUUUGUGGGCAUGGAUUUCUCUGAGCAAAGAGUCACAAGAGAACGAGCGGAUCAUCGGCCACGUUAGUAAGGGGAGACUGCCGUGACCUCUCGUGUUAUCUCUAGAUUGAUUGUCACAGAGACCAUUUCCGUGGAAUUCAGUGUUUUUAAAAGAAUCGGUGUUUGUUUGGGAGUCAAGAACAAGCAUUUUUACCCUUUAGAUUACUGACGCUUGCAAUUUCAACUUCACAGAUUUAACCCGACCAGGAAAUUUCAGGAAUGCGUUACCCUGGUGAGAUGUACUUUUAAAAACAACAACAGAAACAACCCUUUAGUUAUUAUAAAUGAUUAAUAAGUGUUUUUUAAAUAUAAUGGCUUCACUGAGAUAUAAUUCAAAAACCGUAUAAUUCACCAUCAGUAUUGGCUUUACGGAACCAUUUUGCAUCAGGUUCCCUGGAAGCAAAGCCUGAGAAGGCAACUCUUGUUCAGAUGACUCAUUGUGGCAGUUUGCUGUCUCUGCUGGGGACCAGCUUCAGUCUCCCCCUUCCUAGGGAAGCUCUGGGGGACAAACUGCCCCACGAGGAUGGUCCCACUUUGAGACCAGGGCCCUUUUUGUGCCAGUUGGCCAAGCGUGAGGGGGUGGAAGGGGUGGCUUGUAGUGUCCAGGGCAAAAGGGCUCCUGUUUUAGCAAGGGCAGUUCCCUGGGGAAGGGCCGCUGUGAGUUCCAACACUCAAAGUAGGUAGGGGACAAGUGCUCGGGCAGGGUGCCAGCAAUACCAUGGCCACCUGCCCAUACUUUGCUCAAAUCCACCUGCCUCUUAAAGCAGUAUGUCAUCCUGACACAGGAACACCACCCCUGAGCCUUCUUUAAAUAAUUCAUUGAGGUGAAAUUACGUAACAUAAAAUUAAAGUACACAAUGCAGUGCCAUUUAGUACAGUUACAGUGUCGUGCAACUGUCACCUCUAUCUAGUUCUAAAACAUCUCCAUCACUCUGAAGUAAAACCCCUUACUCGUUAGUAGUUUCUCCAACACUCCCUCCCCUCAGCCCCUUUGAAACACUGAUCCACGUGCUUUCUGUCUCUAUGGAUUUAUCUACUCUGGAUAUUUCAUAUAAAUGAAAUAAAACGAUACGUGACCUUU